GGAGGAAUUCUUCCAUUUGGAGCUGUUUUCAUCGAGCUUUUCUUCAUUCUCACCUCGAUCUGGCUGAAUCAAUUCUACUACAUCUUUGGUUUUCUGUUCCUCGUUUUCGCAAUACUCUUGGUCACCUGUGCUGAAAUAACAAUUGUCCUCUGCUACUUCCAGUUAUGCAGCGAGGACUACCUCUGGUGGUGGAGGUCAUACCUCACAUCCGGUUCCUCAGCACUGUACCUCUUCCUCUAUGCAACAUUCUACUUCUUCACAAAGCUUGAGAUAACCAAACUUGUUUCAGGGGCCUUGUACUUCGGAUACAUGCUAAUUGCAUCGUAUGCAUUUUUCGUGCUAACUGGGACAAUCGGAUUCUAUGCAUGCUUAUGGUU
rnacentral:lncRNA from 1 species